UAAAGACUUUCCCUGAUCAUUUCUAUAGUUCAUUACUAGAGAAGUGUCUCUGCCUACAGUACUGUAAACCACUAGGCGGAGCCUGGUAUGCUCUGCUGAGUGUGAGGCCAGCUCUUGCUGUUGCUUUGUCACAACUGUCACUUGCAUUGAUGAUCAUUCCUGCUGUCCUUUGGGAUCGCAGGAGGGAGAGGAUGUAGUCUGAAUGGC
rnacentral:snoRNA from 1 species